AUGAAUGGCAUAACGAGGGCUUAACUGUCUCCUCUUUCAAGUCAAUGAAAUUGAUCUCCCCGUGCAGAAGCGGGGAUAAGCACAUAAGACGAGAAGACCCUAUGGAGCUUUAGACACCAAAGCAGACCAUGUUAAGCACUCCCUAAACAAGGGAUUAAACCAAAUGAUCCCUGCCCUAAUGUCUUUGGUUGGGGCGACCGCGGGGAAACACAAAACCCCCACGUGGAACGAGGGCACCCCCUCUCACAGCCAAGAGCUCCCGCUCUAGUAAACAGAAAUUCUGACCAUCUAGAUCCGGCAAAGCCGAUCAACGGACCGAGUUACCCUAGGGAUAACAGCGCAAUCCCCUUUUAGAGGCCAUAUCGACAAGGGGGUUUACGACCUCGAUGUUGGAUCAGGACAUCCUAAUGGUCCAGCCGCUAA
rnacentral:rRNA from 1 species